rnacentral:rRNA from 1 species
AGCUAUGGCCAUGCCACCCUAAAUGUGCCCGAUCUCACUUGUCUAAUCUCGGAAGCUAAGCAGGGUCGGGCCUGGUUAAUACUUGGAUGGGAGACCACCUAGGAAGACCAGGUGCUGUAGGUG